UGCGGAGGGAUCAUUACUGAGUGAGGGCCUUCGGGCUCGACCUCCAACCCUUUGUGAACACAACUUGUUGCUUCGGGGGCGACCCUGCCGUUUCGACGGCGAGCGCCCCCGGAGGCCUUCAAACACUGCAUCUUUGCGUCGGAGUUUAAGUAAAUUAAACAAAACUUUCAACAACGGAUCUCUUGGUUCUGGCAUCGAUGAAGAACGCAGCGAAAUGCGAUAAGUAAUGUGAAUUGCAGAAUUCAGUGAAUCAUCGAAUCUUUGAACGCACAUUGCGCCCCUUGGUAUUCCGAGGGGCAUGCCUGUUCGAGCGUCAUUUCACCACUCAAGCCUCGCUUGGUAUUGGGCGCCGCGGUGUUCCGCGCGCCUCAAAGUCUCCGGCUGAGCUGUCCGUCUCUAAGCGUUGUGAUUUCAUUAAUCGCUUCGGAGCGCGGGCGGUCGCGGCCGUUAAAUCUUUCACAAGGUUGACCUCGGAUCAGGUAGGGAUA
rnacentral:rRNA from 1 species